rnacentral:lncRNA from 1 species
AGAGGUUAAAUGUCUUGGUGAAGUCAUGUGUCAGUGGCUGCGGAGGGGGUCUGUGGCUCAGGCAGUGGUACAAAGAUGAAAAGAGUUUAUCCUGAAGCUACCAUCAGAAAGAGACUUCAAGAGAAUCUUGACACCCCUGAAAGGAAAAGACACCAGUAGAAAGAGGUGCGCAUCUCCUGGACAGCCCCGAGCUUGCAGGGACCAGACCUUCCGACCCCAUCAUCCAAGCUACGUGAACCCUUUGAAUUUGAACUUCUAAAAACGUGGGCACAACCUUUUUCCAGACUUCUCAACGCAGGCUACCCAGGACAAGCUGGGCCAAUAACGGAAAUAUACAGGAACCCCUCUGACCAAGAGACUGUCCCGCUGACAUCAGAACUGCCCAGGGGGAGCACCAUGGAAGGCGACUGUCUGAGCUGCAUGAAGUAUCUGAUGUUUGUAUUCAAUUUCUUCAUAUUUCUGGGUGGGGCCUGCCUGCUGGGCGUCGGCAUCUGGGUCAUGGUGGAGCCCACCGGCUUCCGGGAGAUCGUGGCUGCCAACCCCCUACUCAUCACGGGCGCCUACAUCCUCUUGGCCAUGGGGGGCCUGCUUUUUCUGCUCGGCUUCCUGGGCUGCUGCGGGGCCGUCCGGGAGAACAAGUGUCUGCUGCUGUUGUUCUUCCUGUUCAUCCUGAUCAUCUUCUUGGCGGAGCUCUCGGCGGCCAUCUUGGCCUUCAUCUUCAGGGAGAACCUCACCCGCGAAUUCUUCACCAAGGAGCUCACCAAGCACUACCAGGGCAACAACGACACAGACGUCUUCUCUGCCACCUGGAACUCGGUCAUGAUCACAUUUGGUUGCUGUGGGGUCAACGGGCCUGAAGACUUUAAGUUUGCAUCAGUUUUCCGACUCCUGACUUUGGAUAGUGACGAGGUGCCGGAGGCCUGCUGCCGGAGAGAACCCCAGAGUCGGGACGGGGUCCUGCUGAGCAGGGAGGAAUGCCUCCUGGGAAGGGAUCUGUUCCUGAACAAGCAGGGCUGUUACACGGUGAUCCUCAAUGCCUUCGAAACUUACGUCUACCUGGCCGGAGCCCUCGCCAUAGGGGUGCUGGCCAUCGAGCUUUUUGCCAUGGUCUUUGCCAUGUGCCUCUUCCGGGGCAUCCAGUAGAGGGUGUGGCCUGAAGAUUGAAGACUCACCCCACCCACCACUGCCCAGCACCCAAUGCCCUCCCCUCCCCCUCGCCCCUGCCCUCUUGGCCCCGGGGGAGGAGGUGAGGCCAUGAUGGGUGGCUAGGAAAUGGGGCAGAGGAAAAUAGCUAUUUUUUUAACAAAAAAAAUGAAGGCAAAACUAUGGACUGAUGUAGCCCAUCUGGACUCCGGAACAGGCGCCAUGGGGUUCCCCGCGGGGGCCCGGGCACCUGAACCCAGGACGCAGCCUGCACUAGAGACCAAAGCAACACCAGGACCAGGCCUCCUCCUUGGUGCAGCCAGAUCAAGCAGCCCGGGACCUGCGCCCUCAACUCACAGCUUCAGGAUCUGGUGCCAAGGAAGUAAUAAGGAUUUAGGCAAGAAGGAGGCAAAAGAAAAUUGUGGAGAAAGGUUGGCAAAGCCCGCGGGCGCCGAGGAGACCUGGUCACCAUGUCCUUGAGGGCUUGGAGCCUACGUGGAGUCCCCGGUCCUCCGAGGAUGGAGUUGUCCCUGCCUCAGGCUGGGGCCAAGAGUGGGCCGCAGAUGCUGGAUCCAAGGAUGGCCCAGCCAGUAGGGUCCGUGCUUCCCCAUCUGUUGGAGCAAAUCAUCUGGAAAGCCCAGAGAGGAGCAGUUUCUCAUCCACAGUCACACAGCACAUGCGUGACAGUUCUGAACAAGAACUCCGCCAUCCCCAGGCUGCCUGUCACUCCUUCCAGGGUUCUGUUGGUCCCAGCAGACCUACUGCUCACACCCCUCCCUGGCCUCUGCAUCCUGGUUUCCCCAGAAGAGAGCGGGCAAGCUGGUCAGGAAUUGCCUCUUCCCGGCUCCACAGCUAAGAAAAUUCUGGACUCUGCCCUCCCUGGUCGCCCUGCCACCUCCCCACACUUUUCUCUAAGUCCCAGGAACACACACACAUGCACACACAACACAGCCCGUUUUCUACACUGCCCACUUUUCCUCCACCAACUCCACCAAUUCCCUGGCCCCCAGCGCUGGAAGGAACCCCCAAGAUCAUCUGGUUCUCCUCUCCUCACUCAGAACUGCCACUCAGAUGUCUUCCACAAGAUCCCUGCCAAGACUUCUCCACCUUCUUCUCGCACACCUCCAAGGACGGGGAGCUUACUACCUCCCAAGACAGGCUUCUCUUUGGACCGCUCUGACUUUAACAUCAGCUCAAUACACGGAAGAGGUUCCUGUUU